rnacentral:rRNA from 1 species
UACGGAGGGUGCGAGCGUUGUCCGGAAUCACUGGGCGUAAAGGGCGCGUAGGCGGCAUGCCAAGCGUGUGGUGAAAGCCCGGGGCUCAACCCCGGGUCGGCCGUGCGGACUGGCGUGCUCGAGCACUGUAGGGGCGGGUGGAAUUCCGGGUGUAGCGGUGGAAUGCGUAGAGAUCCGGAAGAACACCGGUGGCGAAGGCGGCCCCCUGGUUGGAUACUGACGCUGAUACGCGAAAGCGUGGGGAGCAAACAGG